CCCCCUUCAACAUCCACAUAUACCUGGCAAAGGUACAUACGGGGGUAUUGCUGUACUCAGACGACAUAGCUGAGCAGCAUAUGAAGUAUUAUACAGUCGUAGCACACAUAAGGUUUACAAAAUAUACUGUGCAAACUCACUUUGUGUGUCAAAAGGGCAAAAAAAAAAAAACACUUAUUACCACUACACUUGGUACAAGCUAGCGGAAAAAUGAU